rnacentral:rRNA from 1 species
UGGGGAAUCUUGCGCAAUGGGCGAAAGCCUGACGCAGCGACGCCGCGUGAGUGAUGAAGGCCUUCGGGUUGUAAAGCUCUGUGGAGAGGGACGAAUAAGCGCUGGCCAACAUCCAGCGUGAUGACGGUACCUCUUUAGCAAGCACCGGCUAACUCUGUGCCAGCAGCCGCGGUAAGACAGAGGGUGCAAACGUUGUUCGGAAUUACUGGGGGCGUAAAGCGCGUGUAGGCUGCUCAGAAAGUCGGAUGUGAAAGCCCUGGGCUCAACCUAGGAAGUGCAUUCGAAACUUCUGAGCUGGAGUUCUGGAGAGGAAGGCGGAAUUCUCGGUGUAGAGGUGAAAUUCGUAGAUAUCGAGAGGAACACCGGUGGCGAAGGCGGCCUUCUGGACAGUGACUGACGCUGAGACGCGAAAGCGUGGGGAGC